rnacentral:RNase_MRP_RNA from 15 species
UUCGCAGCGCACAGACAGGGAGAGAACUCCCAGGAAUUGUUGUGAGGAAAGUCCCCGUGCCUUUGGGCAGAGAGUGCCAGCAGGAGACUGCGAGAUGUCGUAAUGUUCAUUGUCAGCGACGCUUUCAUGCCGAGGUGCAGUGGCAAGAUGGCAUCCUUCACAGCAGCACAGCCAUGUCGUGAGCGUUCGAGCGAGGACGCCAACUGAACGGGGCUCAUUCUCC